rnacentral:lncRNA from 1 species
UGGUGGUUCUGCUACUUGUACGGUUGGCAGUGCUGGUUAGUGUUGCUAAGGUUUGACGGCGAGGAAGAGUUUUGGGGUUUUUUUUUUUUUUUUUUUUUUUUUUUUUAACAUGGAUGUCCGGGUCAGCUUGCGCGUACCUCGACUAAUCCCACGGGCCCUGAAGUUAACAACCAUGUAAGCCUCCAGUGGCCAUCAUAUGAGCAACCACAGGGCUCGAACCUAAGACCACAGAGGAAGCAAACCUCUUGAUCCCAAGCUCUUACCACUGG